rnacentral:rRNA from 1 species
GAACUUUCAGUAACAGUUUGUGAUGAUUUUGCAGUUUUUAAUAAAAAAGAUCACUUGGGUAUAUAUAUAUAUAUACAGUGGUGGUUCAUUAUCUGGUGCGAAGAGCGCGGUGCAUGUCGAGCACCUUUGCGGGCGCUGACAAAGCCGAUGCACGACCCUUAGUCGAGAACAGUGUCGGUCGGGGAGUUUGACUGGGGCGGUACACGUCUGUGAAACAGUAACGCUGGUGUCCCAAGGCGAGCUCAGCGUGGAUGGAAACCACACGUCGAGCAAAAGGGCUAAAGCUCGCUCUAACUCAAUUUUCAAUACGAAUACGGACCAGGAAAGCGUGGCCCAUCGAUCUUUUCCGAACAACAGCGAGCUAUGUGUCCGCUGAGAGGGGUCAGAAAAGUUACC